GACUACUCGGGUAUCUAAUCCUGUUUGAUCCCCACGCUUUCGUGCUUCAGUGUCAGUUAUGGCUUAGUAAGCUGCCUUCGCAAUCGGAGUUCUGCGUGAUAUCUAUGCAUUUCACCGCUACACCACGCAUUCCGCCUACCUCAAACACACUCAAGUCUUCCAGUUUCAACGGCAAUUUUAUGGUUGAGCCACAAACUUUCACCGCUGACUUAAAAAACAACCUACGCACCCUUUAAACCCAGUAAAUCCGGAUAACGCUCGGAUCCUCCGUAUUACCGCGGCUGCUGGCACGGAGUUAGCCGAUCCUUAUUCAUAAGGUACAUACAAAACGGGACACGUCCCGCACUUUAUUCCCGUAUAAAAGAGGUUUACGAUCCAUAGAACCUUCAUCCCUCACGCGACUUGGCUGGUUCAGGCUUACGCCCAUUGACCAAUAUUCCUCACUGCUGCCACCCGUAGG
rnacentral:rRNA from 1 species